UACGGAGGGUGCGAGCGUUAAUCGGAAUUACUGGGCGUAAAGCGCACGUAGGCGGUUGGGUAAGUCGGAUGUGAAAGCCCUGGGCUUAACCUGGGAACUGCAUUCGAUACUGCCCGACUAGAGUAUGGGAGAGGGAAGCGGAAUUUCCGGUGUAGCGGUGAAAUGCGUAGAUAUCGGAAGGAACACCAAUGGCGAAGGCAGCUUCCUGGCCCAAUACUGACGCUCAGGUGCGAAAGCGUGGGGAUCAAACAGG
rnacentral:rRNA from 1 species